UAGGGAAUCUUCGGCAAUGGGGGGAACCCUGACCGAGCAACGCCGCGUGAGUGAAGAAGGUUUUCGGAUCGUAAAGCUCUGUUGUUAAGGAAGAACGAGUGUGAGAAUGGAAAGUUCAUACUGUGACGGUACUUAAUCAGAAAGGGACGGCUAACUACGUGCCAGCAGCCGCGGUAAUACGUAGGUCCCGAGCGUUGUCCGGAUUUAUUGGGCGUAAAGCGAGCGCAGGCGGUUAGAUAAGUCUGAAGUGAAAGGCAGUGGCUCAACCAUUGUAGGCUUUGGAAACUGUUUAACUUGAGUGCAGAAGGGGAGAGUGGAAUUCCAUGUGUAGCGGUGAAAUGCGUAGAUAUAUGGAGGAACACCGGUGGUGAAAGCGGCUCUCUGGUCUGUAACUGACGCUGAGGCUCGAAAGCGUGGGGAGCGAACAGG
rnacentral:rRNA from 1 species